rnacentral:lncRNA from 1 species
UGUAACACCCUGGCCUAACCAAAAUAAAGACCAAAAACCCCUCUCUAUGGCCAGGGUGUUACAUACAUAGGGAUUUUAAUCUACAAUUUACUUUGCAGUCUGGUCCAUAGACCUCUCAGAGAGAAAGGCCUCCCUCCUCCUAGAAGUGCUGAAACUCCAACCAGAGAAGAAACCAGUAGAGCUGAAGGGCUGGUCAGAUGAAGAGAGUGAAGUGAGGAGUUUCCUUCAGUGUCUGUCCUUCAUCUCACAGCUGAGUUUCUGUCUAUGGUGGCCUGAUCCCUCAAAGCAGAUCACGUUCCUGGUGAAUCUCCUGUCUCAAGCAGCAGAGUGGGAGGAGCAGACAGGAGAGAAGACACUGAAGCUGGUAUCAUCAGUGUGUACUUACAGCGCUUUCCCCUUCUGUGACUGGGUUUAUGAUGAUGAUGGUGAUGUGAUUAAGGAAAAUCAGUGUCAUUUCCUGUUGGAUCUUUACUCACAUGUGAAGGACUAUGAGACUCAAACAGGCAGGAGUGUCCUUCCAGCAUUACAGCCAGUUUACCAGUCAGUUCCUGCAGUCUGGUCCAUAGACCUCUCAGAGAGAAAGGCCUCCCUCCUCCUAGACGUGCUGAAACUCCAACCAGAGAAGAAACCAGUAGAGCUGAAGGGCUGGUCAGAUGAAGAGAGUGAAGUGAGGGGUUUCCUUCAGUGUCUGCCCUACAUCUCACAGCUGAGUUUCUAUCCAUGGAGGUCUGAUCCCUCAAAGCAGAUCAAGUUCCUGGUGGAUCUCCUGUCUCAAGCAGCAGAGUGGGAGGGGCAGACAGGAGAGAAGACACUGAAGCUGGUAUCAUCAGUGUGGACUUACAGCACCUUUCCUUAUCGCUAUGGAAACAAUUCUAAACAGAGUGAUUUCCUACUGGAUCUGUACUCACAUGUGAAGGACUAUGAGACUCAAACAGGCAGGAGUGUCCUUCCAGCGUUACAGCCAGUUUACCAGUCAGCUCAUACAGUCUGGUCCAUAGACCUGUCAGAGAGAAAGGCCUCCCUCCUCCUAGAAGUGCUGAAACUCCAACCAGAGAAGAAACCAGUAGAGCUGAGGGGCUGGUCAGAUGAAGAGAGUGACGUGAGGAGUUUCCUUCAGUGUCUGCCCUACAUCUCACAGCUGAGUUUCUAUCCAUGGUGGCCUGAUCCCUCAAAGCAGAUCAAGUUCCUGGUGGAUCUCCUGUGUCAGGCAGCAGAGUGGGAGGAGCAGACAGGAGAGAAGACACUGAAGCUGGUAUCAUCAGUGUGUACUUACAGCACUUUCCCCUUCUGUGAAGAUGUUGUUGAUGAUGGUGAUGUGAUUAAGGAAAAUCAGUGUCAUUUCCUGCUGGAUCUGUACUCACAUGUGAAGGACUAUGAGACUCAAACAGGCAGGAGUGUCCUUCCAGCAUUACAGCCAGUUUACCAGUCAGCUCCUGCAGUCUGGUCCAUCGACCUCUCAGAGAGAAAGGCCUCCCUCCUCCUAGAAGUGCUGAAACUCCAACCAGAGAAGAAACCAGUAGUCCUGAAGGGCUGGUUAGAUGAAGAGAGUGAAGUGAGGGGUUUCCUUAAGUGUCUGUCCUACAUCUCACAGCUGAGAUUUCCUCCACUGAAGGAUAAUGUAGAGAGGAUAAAGAGAGAGAAGACAUUCCUACUGAAUCUGUGUCUUCAAGCAGCUCUUCAUGAGAGAGGAACCAUACAAACAACUGUAGAGAAAGUGUUGUCACUGUCUGAAGUAUAUCACAAUCAGAAAUGGGAUUUCCUGCUGUAUCUGUACUCACAUGUGAAGGACUAUGAGACUCAAACAGGCAGGAGUGUCCUUCCAGCAUUACAGCCAGUUUACCAGUCAGCCAGUCCUGCAGUCUGGUCCAUAGACCUCUCAAAGAGAAAGGCCUCCCUCGUCCUAGAAGUGCUGAAACUCCAACCAGAGAAGAAACCAGUACAGCUGAUGGGCUGGUCAGAUGAAGAGAGUGAAGUGAGGAGUUUCCUUCAGUGUCUGCCCUAUAUCUCACAGCUGAGUGUUACUCCACCACAGGAACAGAGAAGAUCCCCUGAAGAGAGGAGAAAGAGAGAGAAGACAUUCCUACUGAAUCUGUGUCUUCAAGCAGCUCUCCAUGAGAGAGGAACCAUACAAACAACUGUAGAGAAGGUGUUGUCAUUGUCUGAAGUAUAUCACUAUCAGAAAUGUGAUUUCCUGCUGGAUCUGUACUCAUUUGUGAAGGACUAUGAGAUUCAAACAGGCAGGAGUGUCCUUCCAGCAUUACAGCCAGUUUACCAGUCAGCUCCUGCAGUCUGGUCCAUAGACCUCUCAGAGAGAAAGGCCUCCCUCCUCCUAGAAGUGCUGAAACUCCAACCAGAGAAGAAACCAGUAGAGCUGAAGGGCUGGUCAGAUGAAGAGAGUGAAGUGAGGAGUUUCCUUCAGUGUCUGUCCUACAUCUCACAGCUGAGUUUUACUCCUCCAUGGGAUCAGAGAAGAUGCCCUGAAGAGAGGACACAGAGAGAGAAGACAUUCCUACUGAAUCUGUGUCUUCAAGCAGCUCUCCAUGAGAGAGGAACCAUACAAACAACUGUAGAGAAAGUGUUGUCACUGUCUGAAGUAUAUCACAAUCAGAAAUGUGAUUUCCUGCUGGAUCUGUGCUCACAUGUGAAUGACUACGAGACUCAAACAGGCAGGAGUGUUCUUCCAGCAUUACAGCCAGUUUACCAGUCAGCCAGUCCUGCAGUCUGGUCCAUAGACCUCUCAGAGAGAAAGGCCUCCCUCUUCCGAGAAGUGCUGAAACUCCAACCAGAGAAGAAACCAGUAGAGCUGAAGGGCUGGUCAGAUGAAGAGAGUGAAGUGAGGAGUUUCCUUCAGUGUCUGCCCUACAUCUCACAGCUGAGUUUCUAUCCAGAUUGGUAUGAUCCCUCAAAGCAGAUCAAGUUCCUGGUGGAUCUCCUAUCUCAAGCAGCAGAGUGGGAGGAGCAGACAGGAGAUAAGACACUGAAGCUGGUAUCAUCAGUGUGUACUUACAGCACUUUCCCCUUCUGUGAUGAUGACGAUGAUGAUGAUGAUGAUGAUGAUGAGGAAUAUCAAAGUGAUUUCCUGCUGGAUCUCUACCCACAUGUGAAGGACUAUGAGUGUCAAACAGGCAGGAGUGUCCUUCCAGCAUUGCAGCCAGUUUACCAGUCAGCCAGUCCUGCCGUCUGGUCCAUAGACCUGUCAGAGAGAAAGGCCUCCCUCCUCCUAGAAGUGCUAAAACUCCAACCAGAGAAGAAACCAGUAAAGCUGAAGGGCUGGUAUGAUGAAGAGAGUGAAGUGAGGAGUUUCCUUCAGUGUCUGCCCUACAUCUCACAGCUGAGUUUUACUCCACCACGGGAUCAGAGAAGAUCCCCUGAAGAGAGGAGAAAGAGAGAGAAGACAUUCCUACUGAAUCUGUGUCUUCAAGCAGCUCUCCAUGAGAGAGGAACCAUACAAACAAUUGUAGAGAAAGUGUUGUCACUGUCUAAAGUAUAUCACGAUCAGAAAUUUGAUUUCCUGCUGGAUCUGUACUCACAUGUGAAGGACUAUGAGACUCAAACAGGCAGGAGUGUCCUUCCAGCAUUACAGCCAGUUUACCAGUCAGCCAGUCCUGCAGUCUGGUCCAUAGACCUCUCAGAGAGAAAGGCCUCCCUCCUCCUAGAAGUGCUGAAACUCCAACCAGAGAAGAAACCAGUAGAGCUGGAGGGCUGGUCAGAUGAAGAGAGUGAAGUGAGGAGUUUCCUUCAGUGUCUGUCCUACAUCUCACAGCUGAGGUGAGUCUGAACAUGUGUGAUGGUUAGUGAUUAUGUGAUGCUACUGAUUAUUGUCUUUUAGAAACAUUGUAAUAUGAAA